rnacentral:lncRNA from 1 species
GUGUUCCCUGUCCUGCUUCCCCAGAGGAAGCCAGAAGAAGACCCCAGUUGCCAUGAACUCCGCCGUCACUAGCCGUGAGCACUCCACUUACUCGCAGAGGAGUGAUGUCGUGCUCAGCUCCCAACCUAUGGCCAAGGCAGGAGGACAGAUAGGCAGCCCGGGAGUCCCGCAGCAGCUGCCUGGCCUAUGACAUCUUGGACAUCCUGCCAUGUUAUCUCUGUAUCUUCUUGGGGAUUCAGCACUUCCUCACAGCCCUGGGGGGCCUCAUGGCGGUGCCAUUCAUCCUGGCCAAGGACCUGUGCCUGCAGCAGGACCCCCUGACACAGAGCUACCUCAUCAGCACCAUUUUCUUUGCUCCAGCAUCUGCAUGCUCCUGCAAGUGUUUUUAGGGGUCAGGGGUUCUCCAGCCGGCCCAGGUUGUUCAGAUGCUGCUGACCAUGGGCAUGUUCAUCAGUGGAUUUCUGGGUUUUCUUCUAGACAACACCAUCCCCGACUCGAAUCAUUUCUUGGUCUAGCAUCUCCAUGCUGUGGAGGAUACCCGCCCCCUUAGUAGCUGUCUUGGUGAUCAGAUUGACCGUCGAGGCACUGCAGUGCUUGUCCUCAGAACAAGAACCCAGAGCCCACCAAAGGACUGGCGUGAAAGGAGCUGUAGCACUGUAUCCGUCCCACCCUCCACUGGCACCGGAUGGCUGCCCCACAUGACAGGAAGUGUUGGUGUGACCAGACCAGCAGCCCAGGAGCCAUGGGCUAGAGUGGGGCAUUGGGACCGAAUGAGCGGUAACAUGAACAAGCUGAAACACAUUCCUGCCCAGCCUGCCAAGCUGUGGGCAGUGACACGCUCUUAUUUGCCAGACUACAAGAGAAGAUCUGUGACCCUUCUGGGGGCCCAUACCUUGGGGCUCCCCAAGCCAGAGCUGUGACAUGCUGUAACACCCUCUUGCAGCUCCACGGUUGCUGGUGUCUUUGAGUUUUCAGGCACCACGGCGUUCCCCUUGUUGGGAUGCCAGUGCCCAAGGUGGAAGCCACUUGAGGCAUACCUGGUCCAGCCACAGCCUCACAUGGUUCUGACACCUGGAGCUGCCUGCCCUUCUGCAGCAGCUGGUGCACCUGGCUCUGUGGUGUGGCUGGACCCUGUGCUCACUCACACACCUCCCACUACUCCGCGCCUGGCUCACCCAUGAUGGGAAUGGGAUCUGGGCCAGUAGUGCAAGCUGAGGACAGCCUGCUGGGCUGAGUAGGCAGAGCCAGCCCAGCAGUUGUGAGCAAAACUUGGUCAGAGGCGCCACUGGUCACAGAAGUUUCUGGCUGGUGAAGUGGCACUGAAAGAAUCCUGUGUGACUUUGCUCAUCUCAGUUACUCAUUCUGUGGCCACAUCUCAGACUAGCCUUGGGGAUUCCCAGUAGCUGUGCCUGCAAUCCUCAAUUUCAAGCAGUUGUCUGACCACCACCUCCUAUUUUUCCAGCUCACUACUUCUAGUCCCCCAAGUCUAAUAACUCUUUAAUUGGCCAGGAUCUGAAUCUACCGUCCUCCCACCUUCCGCUGGUCCCCUCUUCCCUCCUUGAGCAACCUCAAUGCCACAGUCAGUCAUAAUAACCACCUUCUCGCAUUUGCAACGCCCUUAGUCUGCUCUCUUCUUUACACUCUCUUGGCAAAACCUGAACGCUGAUGAGAAAUAACUCUUCACUCUGCACCUGCACUCGUGCAGUUGAGCAUCUCUGGGGAAAACAUACAGUUGAAUGGAGUGGUUUUAGAUUCAGACCCUGAACUUCACGGGAUCCUCAGUGCCGCCUGGCAGGCAGGAACCCUUUCCCAAGCACACUGCUCUCUCUGCUAAAACUCUUUCCACCUCUGUCUUCUUCUUCUUUUUUUUUUUUUUUUUUUGAACUUCACGGGAUCCUCAGUGCCGCCUGGCAGGAAGGAACCCUUUCCCAAGCACAAGGCUCUCUCUGCUAAAACUCUUUCCACCUCUGUCUUCUUCUUCUUCUUUUUUUUUUUUUUUUUUUUUGAGACGCUCACUGUCACUCUGGCUGGAGUGUAGUAGUGCGAUUACAGAUCACUGCAGUCUUGACCUCUGGGCUCAAGGGAUCCUCCUGUCUCAGCCUUCCGUGUAGCUGGGGCUACAGGCAUGUGCCACCGCACUCUGCUAAUUUUUUAAAAAAUACUUUGUGGAGACAGAGUCUUGUCAUGUUGCCCAGGCUAGUCUUGAACCGCUCGGCUCGAGCAGUCCUCCAGCCUUGGCUUCCCAAAGUGCUAGGAUUACAGACAUGAGCCACCAUACCCAACCUCAGCUUCUUAUUUCAGAGAAAUCUGUAAAGGAGUAAUCAGAUGAGAAACUGUGCAAACACCUGCAUGUCUCCACUCCUAGCUUUGGUGCCCCUUGACUCUCCCUCCUGUUGGGUGAAUGAGCUGCCUGGCUCCUCCCUGAAGCUGGUUCCUCCCCUUGUGCUCCAGAGCCCAUUCCCUGAUUUCUAUUCAAGGGUUUCACUGCGACAAGUCUCCUAUCUUGCAUCAAGUUUUCUCUUUCUUUCAGUAACGCAUGUCAGCAUACACACCUGCUGUUAUUUCUGCUAUCUUAAAAAAAGAUUUUUUUUCUUAAAAAGAGACUUUUGUGAGUGUGUGCCAUGGUAGGCUUAAAGUAACAGGGUCCCGCCCAUCUAACAUGCUGUAAUAAAUGUGCUGGAGCUGAGGACCUGCGCUUAGCUGCUCCAGGAGUCCUGGAUGCCUCUCAUACCAGUCAAGAGCAGGCCCAUCCUCUUUCCUUACCCUACUGCUUCUGUGCCCACAGAAGCCCUUCACAUCCUGUCUCAUUCUGCCCUUUGUUCCUUUUCCUUUGGUUGACAGCUCCAGGACUUCAGAACAUUCCCUAUGUUCUCACCAAACAGCUGCCAGGCAGCCAGGCUCAGUUUUCCAAGUGGGUUUUCCUGUACUUUAUUUUCGUAUCGUGCUGUCCCCAGGCAGCCAAAGCAGGAUGAACAGCAGGAGAAGAGAGCCAGGCCCUCUCCUGGAACAGCCUCCUGGUCUUCCCUCAGCUGUACUUUUUUUUAUUGUCAGAACACGUAGUUUCAGAGCUUCAGGAACAAGGCAGCUUUGUGAGAAGCAUAUGCAAGAAGGGACAGAUUUCUGACAUUUCCAUAAAAGCACAAAGGCUUGUUUUGUUCAGAAUCAAGGUUGGAGAAGUAGCUGGUGGAUAAGAAGUAAUUGACGAGAUGGGCUUGGGGUAAUUAGCUUGAUUCAAUUAGCAUGAGGUGGAACUGAGUUACCCAAGCUAGAUGUCAGCUCAGCCCAGCCACCACCCGCCCACACCAUCUGCACUCAAUAAGCAUUUAUCUGUUGGAGCUUUUUCUGCACAUUCCAAGGUCGCUAUCAGAAUCUGAAUCCCCUGUUCUGAUAAUGCAGUGCCUAGAGCCACGGCCUCGCAGCUUCCCUCCUUCACCUCCAAUCUUGCUUCUUCCCGCCUCCACUUGACCUCCCAUGAUCCCCCUCCCAGUCAUCACCUAGAGGUGAUGCACAGAGUGGCCGACAGAGUGAACUCCAAGGGCUGGCUUCACAUUCCUACAUCCUAAUUCUUUAGAGGCAGGGCUUUUUUGUGACUUUAAACAACAAAAUUGUUCCCCAUUCAUUAACUUAUUGGGGAUAAAAAGAGUUAGAGGUGAGGUGAUCUGAGAUUCUUCUAUUAAAUGGUUUGGGGCUUCAGUUAAAUCAUUGUUUCUUCAUCUGUCAAAUGGCAGUAAUAACAGAGGCCCAACCUCCACAGGGAGCUGCUAUAACAACAACAACAUAAAAAUCCCCAAGGGGUACCCGUGAUGUUGGUUUCAUGUGUCAAGCUGGCCAAGCUAUAGUAUCCAGUUAUCUAAUCAGGCACUCCUUUAGGGGGUGUUGUGAAGGCAUUUUAUAGAUGUGGUUAACAAACCAGUCCACUUUAAAUUAAGAAGAUUGCCCUUGCUGAUGUGAUUGGGGCUCACCAUCCAUUAGCUGAAGGCCGUAAGAACAGAACUGAGGUUUCUGGGAGGAGACAUUCUUUCAAGACUGCACUGCCAACUCCAGCCUGAGUUUCCAGCCUCCUGGAAGCCCUACAGAUUUCAGACAUGCAGUCCCCACAAACAGAUAAACCAAUUUCUUAAAAUAAAUCUCGGUGUCUCUAUAUCGUAUUGGCACUGUUUUUCUGCAGAACUCUGAUUGCUACAGUACUGACUGAUAUAGGAAGAUACCUUCCCGAUACAAGUCCUUGGUGGGGAGGAAGGGAGAUUGAGAACCACGUGAAGGUAGUUUUAUGCAAUAACUCCAUCCCAGGCUAUGCCAAUACCCAAGGCUGCAGGAGAGAAGCAGAGGGCUGUUGGGCUCACAACCCAGCACAAGGUUGUGGGGGGAAGGGACACCUCCACAUCCUGCUGAGGUCCUCUCUGACUAGGGGCUGCUGGCAGGUAUGGCUCAAGGAAUGAAGUCGCAGCCUUGGACUAAAUAGGAUCAGGGUGGAGCUUGGUACAAAGAGGGAGGGGCUGGCUAGCACUGGCAUACAUUGCUUGAGGGCCUACUAUGUGCACGCCCCUCUGUAAAGCUGCAUUUCUUCUUUCCCACACAGCUGGCUUGGUGAGCCUCUAGGGGUGGCCAACCUGAGCUCCUGCAUUCCUGUCUUUCCAGCAGGAGUUCAAGCUGCCCCUGAGCACAAAGGCCCUUCCUGCCCAGCUCCUGGAGAGCCUCCCUCUGCCCACUCGGUGCGGUGAUUUGUAAGCUGUGAAGGGCUUGCGAAGCUCCUAUCCCUGCACACCCCGGGGGAAGUCCUUGAGUGCGGGCUCAUGCAUCUCAGGACUGCUUUGGAGUCACACAGGACUGGGUCUGGGUCCUAAGACUUAGCCGGUGUUUCAGACUCUCGCUAGGAGAUAACACAGUCCAAGCCUUUGGGAGGGCCUCAGUGCAGGGGAGGGGCUGCUAUGAUGCCUUGAAAACUGUAAAGAGCCAUGCAAGCCCAUUCUCCCCGCACACCCUGCAUUAGUCUGGGUUCUCCAGAGAAAUAGAGCCAAUAAGAUGUGUAUAUACGUAGAUACAGAGAAAGAGAGAGGUGAAAUAUUUAUUUUAAGGAAGGGACCCAUGCAGUUGUGGAGGUGCAAGUCUAAAAUCUGCAAGGCGGGCCGGCAGGCUGGGAAGAGCCGCAGUUCAAGUCCAAAGUUGGACUGCUGGCAGGAUUCCCUCUUUCUCCCGGGAGGUCGGUCUCUUUCGAUUCAGGCCUUUAACCUAUAGGAAGCAUUCUGAGGAUCAUCUGCUUUACUGGAAGUCUCCUGACUUAAAUGUUAAUUUCAUUAACAAUACCUUCACAGAAACAUCUAAAAUAAUGUUUGACCAAAUUCCUGGGUAUCACAGACUAGCCAGGUUGACACAUAAAAUUCACCCUCACCCCCAGUGUCCAAGCCCAGGUACACGUAUGCACCCUUUGCCCAGAAGCCUCACCAGAAAGCCCUCGGAACCCUCGGACCUCACUGUAGCUCCUGUUCAGGUGACUUUAUUACCAGGAGCAGCAGAUGAAUCUGGUUCCACCCAGCUGUCCUGUGGCACAGGGUUGAGGUCAGCACUGCCCCUGGCUCUCAGAGUGUGCAGGAUGAGCAGGUGGGCUGUGGAACUCUCUAGAACCCAUCAGGGCAAUGCCCUGUGCCCAGGACAUGCUGAAAGUACCUGGUGUUAUGUCACCUCCGAGGACAGAUCCUGCCUGUCCUCCUUGAAAGGCCCAUGGCCUGGGCCCCAGCUGUACUUUCUACCCCCUUAAUAGGAGCACAAUAGCAGCAGGCCAGCCCUUUGUGCCAAACAGUCCCUAAAGACCAACACGAGGCCGUGCUUCUCUUAUACUUUAUAAUAAUCAGAAACUAAAAUCAUCAAAAUGCUUCUGGAACAACCCACUCCAAAGAGUCCUGGAGGCCAAGGCAGGUGCAACCUUAGCUGCCAGCAUUCAACCUUGGGAACUGCCCACCUCAUUCAGUCCCUCCCCUCGCAGCUCCUCUUCUGCAUUACAAAUCUUCAUCGUCAAAGGUCUCUGUGCACUGCAACAUGAUCAUCUCUUCAUCAACGGGAAAGGAUGCUUCCUGCAAGACACAGGGUGGAAGAGGGUCACUUUUUAUCUGUGGGUCUUGGGCCCGAGGCAGAUAGGAAGGCUCCUGCAUCUCCGGUGUGCCCAGCCCCCAGACUCUAUCCUACGUCUCUUCCGCUGCAUUUUCACCUCCAGCUUGGGCCAGGAAGCAAGGGCUCUAAGGGGGGAAGGUCCCAUUUCCAUUUCACUCAACUCAGCAUUCUAUGACCUCCAGAAAGGACACAGCAGAACUGGCUUCUUUUUUAUCCUGGGGAUUUCCAGGUUCCCACAAGAGAGACAGAGGACCUCAUAAGGCUUUAUCCAAAUGCUCAUCAAUAGAAGACGGUGCACUGCACCACGGUGCUCCCACCAAUGAAACACCAUGCAGCUCAUUUCCAACAAAAAUAAUGAGACAGCGUGCUCUCUGUGGGAUACACUAUUUACAAAGGGCAAAGUGCAAAGCAAUGUGUACCGUAGGCUACUACUAUUUGUGUUUGAAAGAAUAUAUAAUAUCUGUAGAAUAUCUUUGGAUGAGUGUACAAGAAACUGGUCACUGUAGUUGCCUCUGGGGGAGGGUAUGGGGUAGGAAGCAAGGAAGAGAGAGAGACUAAGUGUCCAUUGUAUAUCUUUUGGUAACUUGUAAAUUUUAUGCCAUGUAUAUGGGUUACCUAUUAGGAGAUGAUAUUUUUUUAAGCAGCAGCACUGCAGCUGGUCAUGAUGGCUCAAUGCCUGUAAUCCCAGCACUUUGGGAGGCCAAGGCAGGCGGAUCACCUGAGGUUAGGAGUUCGAGACCAGCCUGGCCAACAUGGCGAAAUGCUGUCUCUACUAAAAAUACAAAAAAAUUAGCUGGGCAUGGUGGUGUGCGCCUGUAAUCCCAGCUACUCGGGAGGCCAUGGCAUGAGAAUCACUUGAACCUGGGAGGCAGAGGUUGCAGUGAUCCAAGAUCACACCAUGACUACACACCAUCCUGGGUGAAAAAAAAAAGCAGCAGCACUGUUUGCUUAGCAAGGGUUUCUCAGUCCCUAAAGGGACACUGUAAACAGUGAUCCCAGCCAACACCUCAGGACUCUCCAUGACUUCUUCCUCUAAAAAUAUGUUCCUGAGGCUUUGCUCCUUCUGUCUGUCUCCAUCCUAGCAGAAAAUGACCCCUGUAACUUGUCAGCCCUGCAGAUCAGAGUUGAUCCCCAUGGAACCAGGUGGCAUCCCUGACCCCAGUCAACCAUCUAAUGAAUGUGGGACCUGGUCCCAAGGGUGAUAUCCUCAUAGUGGGGACGACCUCCACAAACUGAGCCUUUCCUGCCCUGGAGAAGCAGUUCCCAUUCACCAUGCUCUCCUGAUAGGGGCAGGGAAAUAGGGAUCAAGAGUGUCAGGGAGGUGGGACCACAGUCUCCAGGCAAAUCUUGUGGGCCCCUUGUUCAGCAGGAAGACAGUGGCAGAGGUUGGGAGGAGAAUGCAACUUUUCUGUUUACACCAGAGUCUAUCAAAGCCUGAGUCCUCCUGCCCCAGAGCCACUUGGACAGCUCAUUCCAAAUGCAGAUUUCUGGGGCCCGUUCUUGCAGCACUGAGGCAUCGGGAAUCUAGGAGUGCUGAAGUUUGGCAUCUUUGCUUUGUUCUGUUGUUGUUGUUGUCUGGAGAGAGUCUCACUCUGUUGCCCAGGCUGGAGUACAGUGGCUUGAUCUCAGCUCACUGUAACCUCUGCCUUGUAGGCUCAAACAAUCCUCCCAACUCAGCCUCCUGAGUAGCUGGGACUACAGGCAUGUACCACCACACCCAGCUAAUUUUUAUAUUUUUUGUAGUGGUGAGGCUCUGCCAUGUUGUCCAGACUGGUCUUGAAAUCCUGGGAUCAAGUGAUCUGCCCACCUCAGCCUCCCAAAGUGCUGGGAUUCCAGGUGUGAGCCACUGCACCCGGCCAUACCUUUGCUUUGUAUGGAUACAAGAAUCCCUGCUUGUUAUCUUUUCUGCCAUAUAUGGAGAAGGAGGGGAGGCAAAGAUUGUCCUUUUCGUCUAUUCUCAAAGUCUUGAUAAAGUGGGCUAAUUUAACUGUAUCUGAGAGAAAGAGGGGACAACUGGUCCAGGGGACUGUCACCCAAGGAUUGGUGGGAAGGGGAGAGCAAACUGCAAGGAAGGGCUCCACAUAAGGAUUCACUGUGGUCCCAGAAGAAGGAAAUGAAGACUUAGUUGGAAAAGGGCAAGUUAUACCUUAGCCUAUUGAACAGGUGUCUUGACUAUUUUUAGACAAACAUUUGCUAUUAUUAUAACUUACCUUUUAAAUAAACAGUUGUAUUAUUGCUAAACUAGUAAAGAAAAAUCCAUGGCUAUGAAUUUGAAAGGACCUGUCCCCUUGUGGCUCAGGUAUAACCCCCCUUCUCUGACAAAAGCUUCCAGGAAUGGCCCUCCUAACCAAGAGUCCCACUGCUCAUAUCACUGUAAGUGGAACAAUUUGGAAGCAGACAUUAAUAUCCUUCAAAAGCUGACAGCAAAUAUUACCGAAGGUGAUGAAGACUGUAGAAGAUGAUGAAAUAGCCCAGCGUUUUGGGAAGGUGUCAAAGGUUCACACAACAUUUAUGAAUGCCUGCUGAGAGUCAGGCCCCUGGGAUCGGGUUCCUGCUUCAAAGGGCUCCCAGUCAAGGUCUGCCUUAGAGCAGUGGUUCCCAACCUUUAUGGCACCAGGGACCAGUUUCACGGAAGACAAUUUUCCCACAGACCUGGGGGGCAAGGGUGGUUUCAGGAUGAAACUCUUCCACCUCAGAUCAUCAGGCAUUAGUCAGAUUCUCAUAAGGAGAGAGCAACCUAGACCCCUUGCAUGAGCAGUUCAUAAUAGGGUCUGCACGCCUAUGAGAAUCUAACGCUGCCACUGAUCUGACAGCAGGCAAAGCUCAGGCUGUCAUGCUCACCCUCUGCUGUGCAGCUGUGUUCCUAGCAGGCCAUAGAUCUGUACUGGUCUGUGGCCUAGGAGUUGGGGACCCCUGCCCUAGAGGACACUUCUCUGUCUUUCCUGUUUCCCUGGCUAUCUUCCAUUCAUUCUACAGGAUGCAUCAGGCUGAAGGUGACCAUUCAUGGAGCAAGCCAGAGAGAAUGGAGAGUGUCCCUGCCCAGUGGCUCCUCAUGGUAUGAUUGGGCUGGCAAGCACUGAACUGACAACAGAAAGGAAGAAAAGGCAACAAAUAUUCAGGAUCCUGAUCUUUCAACUCUGCUUCCCCCUCCCCUGAAAGAUUUGGGUUACAGUAUGAACCAAGCACAUGUAAAUUCUCAGACAGCCCAGACCUCUCCUUGAAAGGAUUAUUUUGGCAUUUGGAGCCCCC